rnacentral:rRNA from 1 species
AUACGGAGGGUGCAAGCGUUAAUCGGAAUUACUGGGCGUAAAGCGCACGCAGGCGGUCUGUCAAGUCGGAUGUGAAAUCCCCGGGCUCAACCUGGGAACUGCAUUCGAAACUGGCAGGCUUGAGUCUCGUAGAGGGGGGUAGAAUUCCGGGUGUAGCGGUGAAAUGCGUAGAGAUCUGGAGGAAUACCGGUGGCGAAGGCGGCCCCCUGGACGAAGACUGACGCUCAGGUGCGAAAGCGUGGGGAGCAAACAGGAUUAGAUACCCUGGUAGUCCACGCCGUAAACGACGUCUAUUUGGAGGUUGUGCCCCUGAGGUGUGGCUUCCGGAGCUAACGCGUUAAAUAGACCGCCUGGGGAGUACGGCCGCAAGGUUAAA